CGAAAGUCAAAACACAAUGCAGACAGUGGAUGCCUAGGUCUUGCACACCGAUGAAGGACGCACAUAGCAGCGAAAUGCGCCGGGUAGGAGCUACGAUCCGUUUAUCCGGCGGUGUCCGAAUAGGGAAACCUAGUUGGGGUUAUACCCAAUUGCUCUGUGGCCAAAUUGCUUCGCAUAAAGCUCACGACUUAAAAGAAAUUUUAAGGUCGCUGGUUUUGUGCGAAGCAUACUAACCAUAUGAGAGGGAACCUUCUGAACUGAAACAUCUAAGUAAGAAGAGGAACAAAAAUCAAAUGAGAUUCCGUCAGUAGCGGCGAGCGAAAGCGGAACAGCCUAAACCAUCAUGUGUGCCGCAAGGUGCAUGAGAUGGGGUUGCAGGACUUCAAUAUGUGAGUAAAAAAGAUAGCAGAAUAACAUGGAAAGGUUAAUCAUAGAGGGUGACAAUCCCGUAAGCGAAAUCUUUUUUACCGCUAGAAGUAUCCUAAGUACCACGAUACACAUAUACCGUGGGAAUCCGGGGGAACCAUCCUCCAAGGCUAAAUAUGUGGCAAGAACCGAUAGUGAACUAGUACCGUGAGGGAAAGGUGAAAAGAAGUGCGGAACGCACAGUUAAAAGAACCUGAAACUGUCUGCAGACAAACCGAGAGAGCAUUGAUUUAUCAGUGUGAUCUCGUGCCUAUUGAAGAAUGAACCGACGAGUUAUACGUAUAAGAAGCUAGCUUAAGCACUGUAAAGUGCGUAGGCUCAGUGAAAGCGAGGAUUAAUAGUCCGACCAAGUUUCUACGUAUAGACCCGAAACCGGGUGAUCUACUCAUGAGCAGGCUGAAGCUUCAAGAAAUUGAAGUGGAGGGCCGAACCCGUUGUUGUUGCAAUAACAUGGGAUGACUUGUGAGUAGGGGUAAAAUGCCAAUCGAACCCGGAGAUAGCUGGCUCUCCCCGAAAGGUCUUUGGGGACCGUGCCGUGUUUAUCAUUAAUGGAGGUAGAGCACUGGAUGAGAUGCUGAACGCAAGUGAGGUCUCUCAAUCAAACUCCGAAUUACAUUAGUGUCAACGGUAGAAAGUCAUAUCGGGCUAAGCUGAUAUGACGAGAGGGAAACAACCCAGAUCACCAGCUAAGGCCCCUAAUUUAAUGCUCAGUGGUAAAGGAAGUGGAAUCACCAAGACAGCCAGGAAGUUGGCUUAGAAGCAGCCACCUUUUAAAGAUAGCGUAACAGCUCACUGGUCAAGUGAUUCUGCGCCGAAGAUUUCGCGGGGCUCAAGCAUUAAGCCGAAGCUGUGAAUGUAAUAAUUUAUUAUUACGUGGUAGGGGAGCGUUCUUAUUGCAGUGAAGCUGUACUGUAAAGUAUGGUGGAGCGAUAAGAAGUGAGGAUGUCGGUAUAAGUAGCGCACAAGGAAAGUGAGAAUCUUUCCCGCCGAAUGCCCAAGGUUUCCGUCGCAAGGUUCGUCCGCGACGGGUAAGUCGGCUCCUAAGACGAGGUCCCAAGGACGUAGUCGAUGGACAACUGGUUAAUAUUCCAGUACUUGUGGUAAAUCGUUAUCAAUAAAGGACUGACCGGGUAAAUGCGUACAUACUCCUUCGUGAAGUGGAGUGCAGAAGUUUCGUGUGUGCUUGUAGGAAAAUCCGCAAGUGCGUUUAACGAAAUGGUGCUAAUCUGGCGAGAGCCGGGUGACAUGUAUUAAUAGCCUGCAAGAAAAGGUUCGUUAUGAGAUUUAUCAUAAGCCGUACCGCAAACCGACACAGGUGGGCUGGUCGAGUAGACCAAGGUGAUCGAGAGACAGAAGUUUAAGGAACUCGGCAAAAAAGCUACCCGUAACUUCGGGAGAUGGGUUGCCUCAACGUGAGUUGGGGCCACAGCCAAAGUUUAUUAGCCGACUGUUUAUCAAAAACACAGGUCCGUGCAAAAGUGAAAACUUACGUAUACGGGCUGACGCCUGCCCAGUGCUGGUAAGUUAAGUGGAUGGGUGCUUGUACCUUCGGGUACAUGAUGCUUUGAAAUGAAGCUCCAGUAAACGGCAGCAGUAACUAUAACUGUUCUACGGUGAAACAUAUUCGCCGCCGUAGUAAAAUUUGACCAAAUGCUGGAAACGCUCGCGUAUCUGACAGUACGAGUUUUAAAGGAAUUUAAAACCGUGACAAUCUGAUCAGUGGAGCCAAUCAGCAGGAAAGAUCAAAAACUAGAAAUAGCGUAGUGUCGAUAAACAAUUUCCUUAAAGAAAUGUACAUGCAGAGGCGCAAAAAAAGUUUGUUAGUAGUUUGACUCCGAAAAGAAAGAACCUUUCUCACAAUGAAAAAUGAAGCUAAUUGCAGUUUACUGCGUUAGUGGAUUAACUAAUUGUGUAGACCAAGUUUAUUUUUUCGAAUCGGUGUUAGUAAUAGCGCUUGCAUAUUUCAAAAAGAAAUUUUUAAAGACAAGACCUAUUCGUGUUUUUGGAAUCCUCAGAGACUAAUACGUCAAACACUUUCUUUAUUAGAGAAAGUGAUGAUAGAGUCCGACCUUCAUGGCGACAUGAAGCUUUGUGAAAGUCACAAAGCAUCCCUUAAAAGAUGUAACACAACGUUAACCUUUAAAAAGUUAAUAGAAUGAGCGAAGUUCCUUGUCGGGUAAGUUCCGACCCGCACGAAUGGCGUCACGAGCUAAUAACUGUCUUAAACUUCUACUCGGCGAAAUUGCGGUGGCUGUGAAGACGCGGCCUAAUUCCACUUGGACAAAAAGACCCCGUGAAGCUUUACUGUAGUCUGGCAUUGAGUCGUAUGUCUCAAUUGUUUAGCGUAGGAGGGAGUGCUUGCACGAUCCUGAAACACCUCCCGUUGAUAUAUGCGAAUCUCACCCAAGGGCCCUAGACGGGUCCGGGGAACGUGUCAGAUUGGCAGUUUUACUGGGGCGGUACCCUGCCAAAGUGUAACGCAGGGACACAAAGGUCGGCUUACCACGGAUGGAAAUCGUGGGGAAAGCGCAAAGGUUUAAGCCGGCUUGACUGCGACACCGAUGGGUGAAGCAGGUACGAAAGUAGGUCUUCGUGAUCCUCCACUCCGCAAUGGUUGCGGAUGGAGCUUAAUGGAUAAAAGCUACUCCGGGGAUAACAGAGUAGUCGCGCCCGAGAGUCCAUAUCGACGGCGCGGUUCGCUACCUCGAUGUCGGCUCAGCACAUCCUGGGGCCGGAGAAGGUCCCAAGGGUCGGUCUGUUCGCCCGUUAAAGUGCUACGUGAGCUGGGUUCAGAACGUCGUGAGACAGUUCGGACUCUAUCCAGUGGAAUCGUUCGAGUUUUGAAAGGAGCUGGCCUCAGUACGAGAGGACCAGGCUGGGGGAAUCCCUAGUGUGCCGGUUGUGACGUCAGUCGCAACGCCGGGUAGCUACAUUCCCAUAUGAUAACCGCUGAAAGCAUCUAAGUGGGAAGCAUGCCUUGAGAUAAGAACUCGUCAUUAGACUCCUGGAAGACCACCAGGUUGAUCGGCAGGAACUGGAAGCACCGCAAGGUGUUAAGGUUACCAUGUACGAAUCAGUCGAAUCGGCUUUCGGA
rnacentral:rRNA from 1 species